rnacentral:rRNA from 1 species
AGUGAACGCUGGCGGUAGGCCUAACACAUGCAAGUCGAACGGCAGCACAGUAAGAGCUUGCUCUUACGGGUGGCGAGUGGCGGACGGGUGAUGAAUACAUCGGAAUCUACUUUUUCGUGGGGGAUAACGUAGGGAAACUUACGCUAAUACCGCAUACGACCUACGGGUGAAAGCAGGGGAUCUUCGGACCUUGCGCGAUUGAAUGAGCCGAUGUCGGAUUAGCUAGUUGGCGGGGUAAAGGCCCACCAAGGCGACGAUCCGUAGCUGGUCUGAGAGGAUGAUCAGCCACACUGGAACUGAGACACGGUCCAGACUCCUACGGGAGGCAGCAGUGGGGAAUAUUGGACAAUGGGCGCAAGCCUGAUCCAGCCAUACCGCGUGGGUGAAGAAGGCCUUCGGGCUGUAAAGCACUUUUGUUGGGAAAGAAAAGCAGCAGGUUAAUACCCCGCUGUUCUGACGGUACCCAAAGAAUAAGCACCGGCUAACUUCGUG